UGCUAACUGUUUUUGUGGUUCAUGUUUUCUUUAAGAUGUGAGAGAAAAAUCAAACAAACAUGGAUUACAACAUUUCCAGAGCAUCUUUCUUUCAGAAAUAAUUAAACUCAUAAGUUUAAAAGAACAUAUGAGCUGAAAGAAUUGAGUAAGGAUGAUGCUCUUCAAUUGCUUACUCAAAAAAAGCUUUUAAAAUGAAACAAGUUGAUCCAAUACAUGUGGAGGUCUUAAUGGCGUUCCAUUGACUUUGGAAGUAAUAGGUUCCAACUUGUUUUGAAAAAGUAAGAAGAAGGGAAUAUGCUAUCAAACAAUAUCAAGAAAUUCCUAAUAAUCAAAUCCUAGAGAUACUUAAAGUAAGCUUUGAUGCAUUGGAAGAAGAAGAAAAAAGUGUUUUUCUUGACAUUGUUUGUUGCUUCAAAGGAUAUGCAUUCAUAGAGGUUAAAGAUAUACUUGUGCUCAUCAUGGUGAUAACAUGAAAUAUCAUGUUGGCAUGUUAGUUGAGAAAUCUCUCAUAAAAGUUAAGACUGUUACAUUGCAUGACUUGACUGAGGACAUGGGUAAAAAAUUUGUCACUCAAGGAUCAGCAAGAGAGCUGGGAAGCAAAGGAAGCUAUAAUCCAAGUUUUGGAAGACAACAGAGUGAGAGUGAGUGAGACUCAUGAAUGGGAAUUGGUGAAAUUGAAAUCAUAUGUCUUGAUUUCUCCAUAUUUACCAAAGAAAUAGUAGAAUGGAGUAGAGGACAUGGGUAAAAAAAUUGUCACUCAAGAAUCACCAAGAGAGCUGGGGAAGCAAGUAGAUUACAGUUAGUGGAAGCUAUAAUCCAAGUUUUGGAAGACAACACCGCGAGUGAGACUCAUGAAUGGGAACUAGUGAAAUUGAAAUCAUAUGCCUUGAUUUCUCCAUAUUUACCAAAGAAAUAAUAGAAUGGAAUAGAAAGGCCUUCAAGAGGAUGUAAAACCUCAAACACUUAAUAUUAGAAAUGGCAAAUUUUCCAAAGGUCCCAGAUACCUUCCAAAUAGUUUGAGAAUAUUGGAAUGGUGGAGAUAUCCUUCGAAUUGUUUACCAUCUGAUUUUAAUCCGAAAAAACUUGUCAUAUGCAAGUCACCCAAUAGUUGCUUUACGUCAUCUGAGUUGGAUGGCUUAUCCAAGGCAAGUUUAAAGAGUACAUUUUCCUCACCACGGAAUAUUUUCCUCAUGGAUCUACUCGACAUUCCGUAAUGAGUGAGCUUUUGUAUCCGUAUCGAAGAAUCCGGUUAUCUACUCGGCAGCUAUUGAAUCAGCAACCGCUGGUACAGUAAGCGGUGUUCAAAUAGCCGUUGUUGGGAUCUUCUCCGCUGCUAGCUCUUCUUCUUACUAGGUUUUGCUUAGCAAGCAUCUUCAGAAAAUUAGAGGGAUUCCGCCAAAUUUAAGGUUUUUCUUUGCAAUAAACUGUAAAUCCUUGACUUCCUUGGGUACAAGCAUGUUCCUAAAUCAGGAACUGCAUGAGGCUGCUGGAACCACUGUGUUUCAUUUCCCGGAAGCAAGGAUUCUAGAGUGGUUUGAUCACCAAAGCAGGGCACCUUCAAGUUCUUUCUCUUGUUAUUGCACCUGUGGGUAAUAACAGUUCUGGAUUGUUUAGUCCCAAACCCAUGGUGUUCAUCAAUGUCAAAGCUCAUGAAUCUGUCAUUAGUUGGGGUGAUGAAAUGGUUACAUAUGUGGGUGUGAUAAAGACUUCAAUCCUUAAAGCAAGCGGAGUCCAUGUAAUCAAACAGGAAAGAAGCACGGAGGAUAUUCAAUUUGCUGGACUAGAGUGUUCAUUUGGGGUGCAUGUAGGAGUUCAAAUUGUUGUUUCAGUGGUGACAAAAAAAACAAAUUUGCUUGUGUUCGAGAAACUGAAUGCUAUAGGAUUGUGAAUUAGUAGUAAAUUAUUUUCACUUCAUACUUUGAAAUAGCAUAUUCAGCUUAAUAGUAAUCCUAAUAGGCUGUGAAAUUGUUUGAAGAAAUGGGAAAAUGGGUAUUAGUAAUAUUGGAUAGUGAAGACAAUCGUUUUGUUUAUAAAGUGUUUUGAGAGACAGGAACUUGUUGGUUGUUUGGAAGAUUCAUAAUUUCUUUUCCCUUCUUUAAAAUGGGAGAAAUGAGAAACUAUUAUCAGUAGACGUGGCAGCAUCUGGAGCAGUGUAAGCAUAUUUUUCGUGGGCAUGUUGCUUUGAAGUUCCAUUAGUUAUGGGAAAAGCAUUUUUAAUGUCUCAGUCAAUACAUAUUUACAUCAUCUGAAACUUUUUUUUCUUUUGCAGGUUCAAGUUUUUCCUUCUAAUUGCUAGUAUGAUCAGACUGCUGGCUAUGAUAAAUAAUUUGAUCAGGAAGGAGGAAGACUUAAACCAGUUAAACUUUGUAAAUAUAAUGCUUAGGUUUUAUCAUACUACUACAUCAACUGCUUACGACACUUAGGUAGAAAAUUAUUACAUUUGUGUUGUUGUUCUUGCUUUUCUGCCUUUUCUUUUGUAAUUUUGUUAUUUUCCAAACAUAAGAUAAAAGACUCAAUAAGCAAUUGCCCGAACAUUAUGGUAGGUAGAUAACCGUGCUACCCUUUCAAAGUCAGUUUGAAUUUUUUUUUUCUUUUUCUGUGUUUUUCAUAUUGUUUCCUUAGUUCCUUUAAAUUUCUAGGCUUUAAGAAAGCAUGUUGUUCAAUGUCAGGCCUGAUUUUUACUAAA